ACGAGAAUAUUCCGCAAUGGACGAAAGUCUGACGGAGCGACGCCGCGUGAUGGAUGAAGUGCCUUGGUACGUAAACAUCUUUUAUCGGGGACGAAGUUUAUUGACGGUACCCGAUGAAUAAGGAGCUCCUAACUCUGUGCCAGCAGGAGCGGUAAUACAGAGGCCCCAAGCAUUACCCGGAAUCACUGGGCGUAAAGGGUGUCUAGGCGGCCAUAUUAGUCUCUCGUUAAAUGUCCGAGCUCAACUUGGUCACUGCGAGGGAAACGGUAUGGCUCGAGGGCGUGAGAGGUGCAUGGAACUCAUGGUGGAGGGGUGAAAUCCGUUGAUAUCAUGGGGAACACCAAAGGCGAAGGCAAUGCACUGGUACGUUCCUGACGCUCAAACACGAAAGCCAGGGUAGCGAAUGGGAUUAGAUACCCCUGUAGUCCCUGAGCGGGCUGGCAAGGCGCAU
rnacentral:rRNA from 1 species